rnacentral:rRNA from 1 species
GGCCUACGGGAGGCAGCAGUGGGGAAUAUUGCACAAUGGGGGAAACCCUGAUGCAGCGACGCCGCGUGAGUGAAGAAGGUCUUCGGAUCGUAAAGCUCUGUCCUUGAGGAAGAAGGAAGUGACGGUACUCAAGGAGGAAGCCCCGGCUAACUACGUGCCAGCAGCCGCGGUAAUACGUAGGGGGCAAGCGUUAUCCGGAAUUAUUGGGCGUAAAGGGUACGUAGGUGGUUUUGUAAGCGCGGGGUGAAAGGCAGUGGCUUAACCAUUGUAAGCCUUGCGAACUGCAAGACUUGAGUGGAGGAGAG